rnacentral:rRNA from 1 species
GACGAACGCUGGCGGCGUGCCUAACACAUGCAAGUCGAACGGAAAGGCCCUGCUUUUGUGGGGUGAUCGAGUGGCGAAGGGGUGAGUAACACGUGAGUAUCCUGCCCUUCUCUUUGGGGUAACUUAAGGAAACUGGGGCUACUAUCGGAUAGGAGAUCAUGCUGCAUGGUGGGGGUUGGAUAGUUUCUGCGGUUGGGGAUGGACUCGCGGCUUAUCAGCUUGUUGGUGGGGUAGUGGCUUACCAAGGCUUUGACGGAUAGCCGGCCUGGGAGGGUGACCGGCCACAAUGGUACUGCGAUACGGCCCAGACUCCUACGGUAGGCAGCGGUGGGGAGUAUUACACAGUGAGCGGGAGCCUGAUGCAACAACGCCGCGUUCGUGAAGACGUCCUUCGGGUUGUGAACCGCUUUCGCCUGUUACGAAGCGUUAGUGACGGUAAUGGGUAAAGAAGCACCGGCUAACUACGUG